UACGGAGGGUGCAAGCGUUAAUCGGAAUUACUGGGCGUAAAGCGUGCGCAGGCGGUUUGUUAAGUCUGCUGUGAAAUCCCCGAGCUUAACUUGGGAAUUGCAGUGGAUACUGGCAGGCUAGAGUAUGGUAGAGGAAGGUGGAAUUCCCGGUGUAGCAGUGAAAUGCGUAGAGAUCGGGAGGAACACCAGUGGCGAAGGCGGCCUUCUGGACCAAUACUGACGCUCAUGCACGAAAGCGUGGGGAGCAAACAGG
rnacentral:rRNA from 1 species